rnacentral:lncRNA from 13 species
UCUGGCCCCACCCUGGACAUGCAGGUUUUCUCCAGCUUCAAGAACAUCUUGCAGGACUGGCGGCUAUGGCAUUUUGUCGGCUGGGUGUGGUACAAACGCGAAGUGACCCUGCCGGAGUGGUGGACCCAGGACCUGCACACGAGAGUGGUGCUGAGGAUUGGCAGUGCCCACUCCUAUGCCAUUGUGCCACCAGGGAUCAUCCACUACAUGACCGACACCUGCAAGUGGGUACCACCCUGCCUCCACCACAUGCCCCCACCUUCCCGCCUCACCCCGUGGUCUUCCUACUCCUACGGACAGGUUUGCCUUCGCAGACUGGAGGGGCCUGGUAUCUGGGGAGGCCACAGACAUGUGAGCUGAGGUUAAAGGACCCACAGCAAGGGUCCAGCAAACCACAAUUCUCCCACCCUGGAUAUCCCAACGGUUACUUUGUCCACAACGUAGACUUUGACUUCAGCUCAGCGGGACUGCAGCAGUCUGUGCUUCUGUUCACGACACCCACCACCUGCAUCGAUGACAUCGCCAUCACCAACAGCAUGGAGCAAGACAGUGGCGAGGGCUUCUGGUUCCCAUCCACCUACAAAGCUAAAAUCCAGACUGUCGGAGCAGGCACUGGCUCCCGAAAUCACCUGUGUGGUUGACCUCGUUUGGUGAAGAGUGGUCUUGCCUAAGGUCACACAGCUCAGGAUGGCAAUCCUGUCCCUUCCCCAUGGAGCUGCCCUCAUUCCAGCUCCUCUUGGUACACAUCAUGCUCAAGGAACGGGCAGCUUACCAG